rnacentral:rRNA from 1 species
UACGGAGGGGGCUAGCGUUAUUCGGAAUUAUUGGGCGUAAAGGGCGCGUAGGCGGCCCGGUAAGUCAAAGGUGAAAUCCCUCGGCUCAACUGAGGAACUGCCUUUGAAACUGUCGGGCUUGAGGCCGGGAGGGGGUAGCGGAAUUCCCAGUGUAGCGGUGAAAUGCGUAGAUAUUGGGAGGAACACCAGUGGCGAAGGCGGCUACCUGGACCGGUUCUGACGCUGAUGCGCGAAAGCUAGGGAGCAACGGGAU